rnacentral:lncRNA from 1 species
AUGUUAUCCGUACGUGAAGAAACAACGCAUACUUUCAAUGUGCAGAGCCUGUGUUUAACUGCCAGGAAAAUAACAAAGAACAAAACCAAGGCUGGAUGGAAGAAAGAGCACGUGGACAGGAUUUCUGCUCAUAAAUCAUGUGACCAAUGCAAAACAGAGCAUGGAAGCCAUUGACCUCUGCACUGCCUUGCAAAAGCAGUUGUGUGGACAUGAAGGUCAGCAGCCCUUGAUGGAAAGGUAAGGGAACCUAUCACGGGAGUGACAGCUUCUGGAUUUACUGCACCGCAGUCGCUGGUUAAAUCAGAAAGAAUAGCUUACAGGACUUUAUGGAUCAAUAGCAGGUACUCCCUGAGUGAAAGCUCACCUCUAACACAACCUCAGAGUUACCAGCUAUCUGCGAGGGGUGAUCACUGGAGGGUUGAGACUUCUGAUCAUCAUUAGCCCACCUAGAAAUGAUACAUCCCAAGCACUGUGGGCGAUGCCAUCACAACCUCCUGCCUGUUGUACUCAACUGCUGUUUAUAUAUACCCUUAAGCUGGAGAGGGCUCUGUACACCUUCAACCCCCAGUAAACCAACCCAAGAUAACCUGAGUCCAGCUCUAAACUGGUUGGGACUAUGUUAGCGUCAACAUUCCUUCACUUGAAAAUCAUCCCAUGUUGACCGUGAGAUCUUACCCAACGUUAGUGGCUAUGGGGCAGGUUUUUAGCUGGCUCUAAACUGUUGUAUCUGUACAGGUAUAAAUGGAAAUAAGGUGGUUUACUCUUUUGGAGUGGCUGGCCCUGCAUCCUUGCUUUUAAAAGUAAAACAAAUGAGGUAAGGGAAUUGGAUCGCUCACAUAACAUUAGCAAUGUCAGUCAAGUUACAUCAGGGAUAACUUCAGCCCUAGAGGUGCAGGGUCACAGGAAGGCAAUCUCCACCAUGAGCUCCCCCUGGGAAACUCAAGCAUCUCAUCUGUGGUUGGAAAUGCACUUUAUUUCUACAGAACAGGCCACGAAGCCACUCGUGAGCAGAGCAUCUCUAGAGAUUUGGG